CCUACGGGUGGCAGCAGUAGGGAAUAUUGCUCAAUGGGGGAAACCCUGAAGCAGCCAAGUAGCGUGAAGGAUGACUGCCCUAUGGGUUGUAAACUUCUUUUAUAUGGGAAUAAAAUGUUCCACGUGUGGGAUUUUGUAUGUACCAUAUGAAUAAGGAUCGGCUAACUCCGUGCCAGCAGCCGCGGUAAUACGGAGGAUCCGAGCGUUAUCCGGAUUUAUUGGGUUUAAAGGGAGCGUAGGUGGAUUGUUAAGUCAGUUGUGAAAGUUUGCGGCUCAACCGCAAAAUUGCAGUUGAAACUGGCAGUCUUGAGUACAGUAGAGGUGGGCGGAAUUCGUGGUGUAGCGGUGAAAUGCUUAGAUAUCACGAAGAACUCCGAUUGCGAAGGCAGUUCACUGGACUGCAACUGACACUGAGGCUCGAAAGUGUGGGUAUCAAACAGGAUUAGAUACCCCGGUAGUC
rnacentral:rRNA from 1 species